rnacentral:rRNA from 1 species
AUACGGAGGAUGCAAGCGUUAUCCGGAUUUAUUGGGUUUAAAGGGUGCGUAGGCGGAUGAUUAAGCGUGAGGUGAAAUGCCACUGCUCAACAGUGGAACUGCCUCGCGAACUGGUUGUCUUGAAUGCUCCUGCCGUGGGAGGAAUGUGUGGUGUAGCGGUGAAAUGCAUAGAGAUCACACAGAACACCGAUUGCGAAGGCAUCUCACGAAGGGGUGAUUGACGCUGAGGCACGAAAGCGUGGGGAUCAGACAGGAUUAGAUACCCUGGUAGUCCACGCAGUAAACGAUGAUAACUAACCGCUGGGUCGUAGUGAUUCAGUGGCCAAGCGAAAGCGAUAAGUUAUCCACCUGGGGAGUACGACCGCAAGGUUGAAACUCAAAGGAAUUGACGGGG